UACGUAGGGUGCGAGCGUUGUCCGGAAUUAUUGGGCGUAAAGAGCUCGUAGGCGGUGUGUCACGUCGAUCGUGAAAACUUGGGGCUUAACUCUGAGCUUGCGGUCGAUACGGGCAUCACUGGAGUUCGGCAGGGGAGACUGGAAUUCCUGGUGUAGCGGUGAAAUGCGCAGAUAUCAGGAGGAACACCGGUGGGCCGAAGG
rnacentral:rRNA from 1 species